GGAGGAAUACCCAAGCGGUUUAAGGGACCGGUCUUGAAAACCGGCAGAUGUGCGAGCAUGCGUGGGUUCGAAUCCCACUUCCUCCGCCA
rnacentral:tRNA from 3 species